UACAGAGGUGGCAAGCGUUGUCCGGAUUUAUUGGGCGUAAAGCGCACGUAGGCGGACUUUCAAGUCAGGGGUGAAAUCCCGGGGCUCAACCUCGGAAUUGCCUUUGAUACUGUAGGUCUCGAGUCCGGAAGAGGUGGGUGGAAUUCCCGGUGUAGGGGUGAAAUCCGUAGAUAUCGGGAGGAAUACCAGCGGCGAAGGCGGCCUUCUGGACGGUGACUGACGCUGAGACGCGAAAGCGUGGGGAGCAAACAGG
rnacentral:rRNA from 1 species